rnacentral:rRNA from 1 species
AAAUUGAAGAGUUUGAUCAUGGCUCAGAUUGAACGCUGGCGGCAGGCCUAACACAUGCAAGUCGAGCGGUAACACAGAGAGCUUGCUCUCGGGUGACGAGCGGCGGACGGGUGAGUAAUGUCUGGGAAACUGCCUGAUGGAGGGGGAUAACUACUGGAAACGGUAGCUAAUACCGCAUAACGUCGCAAGACCAAAGAGGGGGACCUUCGGGCCUCUUGCCAUCAGAUGUGCCCAGAUGGGAUUAGCUAGUAGGUGGGGUAACGGCUCACCUAGGCGACGAUCCCUAGCUGGUCUGAGAGGAUGACCAGCCACACUGGAACUGAGACACGGUCCAGACUCCUACGGGAGGCAGCAGUGGGGAAUAUUGCACAAUGGGCGCAAGCCUGAUGCAGCCAUGCCG